GCACCGAAAGGUCAGAGUGUCUCGGCAGUGCCUCUUCUCUCUGUCCCCAUGGAGAAAGAGGUCGUAUAUGUCUGUGGGUGUACCCAUGGGCCACCAUUCCAUCCCGCCGGGAGCUGGGUCACGACAGACGCCUGCCUAUCGGGAUGGGGCGCGGUUUGGCAGGGCAGGACUGCCCAAGGGCAGUGGCCGGCCCGGAACCACGCUCACAUCAAUGUGCUAGAGCUCAGGGCGGUACAGCUAGCACUCAAUCAUUUUCUGCCUCACUUGAGAGGCAAGCAUGUGCUGGUUUGAUCCGACAACAGGUCAGCUGUUGCCCAGAUCAACCACCAAGGGGGGACCCGGUCUUCACGGCUACUCCGGGUAUCUCGGAACUUGUUGGCCUGGGCAUAUCCCCGCCUGGCCAGAGUACGGGCGGUCUUCAUACCGGGGCAACGGAACCAGGUCGCAGAUUUUUCUAUCGCGGCAGAAGCCCCCACCGGGGGAGUGGCGGCUUCAUCCGGAGGUGGUGGAGACGAUGUGGGUUCUCUUUGGCAGGGCGGAGGUGGACCUCUUUGCAUCAGAGGAAUCCGCACAUUGCCCCCUCUGGUUCUCCUGGAUGGAGGUGACCGGCCCCCUCGGACAGGAUGCCUUAGCUCACGACUGGCCACAGAGUCCUCUGUAUGCCUUCCCACCGCUGCCCCUGAUUCACCCCACACUCCAGAGGGUGUUUCUGCGGGGCUACAGGUUACUUUUGGUGGCCCCCUACUGGCCAGGGAGACUCUGGUUUCCACUGCUGCAGCUCUCCAUGGCGCCUCCCCUGCAGGAAGGACCUCCUUUCGCAGCUGGGGGGUCAGAUUUGGCACCCAGAUCCCCGUCGCCUCCAGCUCUGGGCUUGGCCGCUGCAGGGCCCGACUCACUGCUGAAUGUUUGCACUGAGACCGUCAGGAAUACUAUUCUGAGUGCCAGGGCACCAUCUACCAGAGCACAGUAUGCCAACAGAUGGAAGUUAUUCUCUGACUGGUGUAGGGGUAAGACAGUAGACCCAGCACGUUGCUCCGUGGGCACCGUUCUGGAGUUUUUGCAGUCCCUCCUGGAUGGUGGUCGCUCUCAUUCCACCUUGAGGGUCUAUGUGGCUGCUAUCUCUUCCCGACAUGAGAUGGUCGACGGAGCCACAAUGGGUUGCCACAGGAUGGUGUCCCUCUUCCUUAGGGGGGCCCUGAGGCUGCGUCCCCCUAGGACUCUGAGGACUCCAGCUUGGGACCUGCCCCUGGUGCUGGAGGCCAUGUCAUCACCUCCUUUUGAGCCUCUGACCCAGAGAGGGUUGAGGUGGCUGUGCAUGAAGGUGGCUUUUCUGCUCGCCAUUACCACUGCGAAGCGGGUCGGGGAGUUGCACGCCCUAUCCGUGGCAGAUACAUGCCUGCGGUGGAACUCUGAUGGCUCAGGUGUGGUUUUAUGGCCCAAUGUGGC
rnacentral:lncRNA from 1 species